rnacentral:tRNA from 1 species
CAAAAAGUAGCUUACAUCAAAGCAUCUGACUUACAAUCAUAAGACGCUAAAUAUUAGCCUUUUUGA